AGAUGAUGACAUGACAUGACAGUUUGGAUGCAGAGUGUGAGCGUGGGUGAUGCUAAACCACUGCAGUGAAGUACAGCAAGGUUCACAAACAAGCAGCUAAUGUGGCUCCUGACAAAUAAAUCAACAGGUAAAGAAGGCAAAUGCUUGGUGCCCCAGGCCAGAAGGGGGCCCCCGAGGGCUGAGCAAGUUUGAAGUUUGCAAUGACAGUGCUGGGCCGUCGCAGACUCCCUGAAGGAGCCCCGCCCCCUACCGUGCGUCUUCCGUAAACAAACAAGUGAGAGCGGCAUUGAGGAAACGAAGAGAAGUUUUCCCUCUGGCAGCGAAAACAGAGAGAAGAAAAAAGAGGAAGAGGAGAAAAAAGAGAAAGAGGAGAAAAGAAAGCAAGACAGUGGUGCGUAUGAUGCAGUUGUUAAUUCAGCUCACAGCAGCUUAGUGUGUCCUGCUCUGCUGGUCCUGAUGUGACCGAGUUAAGUAUCUGCAGCGGCUUGUUUGCUCAGCUAGCAGGCUAACAACAACACUUUUACUCUAGUUAUCAAAUGAAAGCUUAACUGUCAAGCUAACAAUGCUAAAUUAUAGCAUUUAUAUGCAAGAAAUUUGUACUGCUGAGGUGCAUUGAUGGUGAUACUGAAAACUGUACCUUUGUAUGAUGCUAUAAAUGUAAUCCUAAAGAGAGACAAAGCUUCAGCACAUAGUUGAAUCUUCUGUAUUGGGACUGUCAUAUUGCUCCUGUAUAAUGAAAUGAAAUUUCUAAAUAAUGAGCAGUGAAAGCUGUGCUGAAGAACAUUCAACAGUAGUUAUUAUCUUUAUGCUUUUCUUUCUGUUCGGAGCGGCACGCUCACAGAGGAGUGCAAGGAACUGGAGAAAACACUUCAUGAUAUAGAUUCAGAGGAUUUGGUGCUGGAGGUCAGGGCUGCUUACCAUGCCUGUCCCGAUCAUAUGUCCUCCCCAGGAGAGAUGCUUGAUCACAUUUACAAGGAGCAGCUUCUGGAUCUGUGUGGAAACCUCAGCAUUGUCCUUCGUCUGCUGCUAACUUUCCCAGUCACUGUUGCCUCUGGGGAGAGAAGCUUCUCAGCUUUAAAACUAAUCAAAACCUACCUCAGGUCAACCAUGUCCCAAGAGAGACUCUCAGGACUAGCGCUUAUUUCAAUAGAGCGCAGUGUGCAAACGUCUCUGGAUCUGGAGGACAUCAUAACAGCAUCUGCACAAGCCAAGGCCUUUUUGACCUGACCUGUGGGAGGAGCUGAGAGAAGUGGUGUUUGGACACUGGGCGGAGCAUAUGGAGUCACUGCAACAUCUCCAGGUACAACAACGAAUGAUGGCGUCUACAAGACAAACACAAAGGAAAUAAGAACACUGGAGCGUCCUUCAUGAUGGCGGACUGGAUCGAUUUCCGGGUCAAUGGGAUGCAUCCACACACUUAUAUGGCCUGACCUGUGGGGGGAGCUGAGACACUGAGACAACUGGUGCUUGGACACUGAGUGGAGCAUAUGGAGUCACUGCAGCAUCUCCAGAUACAACAACGAAUGAUGGCGGCUACAAGACAAACACAAACAGCCCCGGAGCAGAAAUAAGAAGACUGGAUCGCAUCCUUCAUGAUGGUGGACUGGAUCAAUUUCCAGGUCAUAGGGAUGCACCCACACACUUUUAAGUACUUCACCAUUCUAUUAUUUUAUUAAUGACUUAUUUUUGUAUUUAUACACACAAGCACCUUAGAGGGAAAUGCGACUGCAAUUUCAUUGGACAUUGUUCAAUGACAAUAAAGGUUAUUCUAUCCUAUUCU